rnacentral:rRNA from 1 species
GAUGAACGCUGGCGGCGUGCCUAAUACAUGCAAGUAGAACGCUGAAGGAGGAGCUUGCUCUUCUGGAUGAGUUGCGAACGGGUGAGUAACGCGUAGGUAACCUGCCUGGUAGCGGGGGAUAACUAUUGGAAACGAUAGCUAAUACCGCAUGACAACAGUUAUUGCAUGAUAACUGUUUAAAAGGGGCAACUGCUCCACUACCAGAUGGACCUGCGUUGUAUUAGCUAGUUGGUGAGGUAACGGCUCACCAAGGCGACGAUACAUAGCCGACCUGAGAGGGUGAUCGGCCACACUGGGACUGAGACACGGCCCAGACUCCUACGGGAGGCAGCAGUAGGGAAUCUUCGGCAAUGGACGGAAGUCUGACCGAGCAACGCCGCGUGAGUGAAGAAGGUUUUCUGAUCGUAAAGCUCUGUUGUAAGAGAAGAACGAGUGUGAGAGUGGAAAGUUCACACUGUGACGGUAUCUUACCAGAAAGGGACGGCUAACUACGUG